GAGUUUGAUCAUGGCUCAGAACGAACGCUGGCGGCGCGCCUAAUACAUGCAAGUCGAGCGAGAAGGUGUAGCAAUACACUUGUAAAGCGGCGAACGGGUGAGGAAUGCAUGGGUAACCUACCCUCGAGUGGGGAAUAACUAGCCGAAAGGUUAGCUAAUACCGCAUACGUUUCCGGAACUUCGGUUUCGGAAAGAAAGCAAUACCGUGGGUAUUGCGCUCCUGGAUGGGCUCAUGUCCUAUCAGCUUGUUGGUGAGGUAACGGCUCACCAAGGCUUCGACGGGUAGCUGGUCUGAGAGGACGAUCAGCCACACUGGCACUGCGACACGGGCCAGACUCCUACGGGAGGCAGCAGUAAGGAAUAUUGCGCAAUGGACGAAAGUCUGACGCAGCGACGCCGCGUGGGGGAUGAAGGUCUUCGGAUUGUAAACCCCUUUCGGGAGGGAAGAUGGAGUGGGUAACCACUUGGACGGUACCUCCAGAAGCAGCCACGGCUAACUUCGUG
rnacentral:rRNA from 1 species